CUCAGAGCACAGGCCCAUGGGACCAAACCAGUUCAUUCUCUUCUUAUUCCAGUUCUUUUUCCCGCAUUUUCUCUAACGACCAAGCGGAGCAUUGCACUGCACAAUGCCGAGGACCAUAGCGAAAGAGCAAUGGCGAAUGCUUUACACACGAACUUUAUUUUUGGGUCUGCCUUCAUUUUGUUCAAUCGCUCUUCUCGCAGGAAGUAACUUCUGGAUCAUCGUAAUUGGAAAAUUUUGAUCGCCUGUGCUAACUGGUCAUAUAUGUGAUGAGCAGAUUUAAAUCGAAUGUUUCGCUAUUUGUCCACUCACUUUAACUUGAUGUGUCGCCAUAUUAACUUCCGUCCAUACUCAAUCUAUCAGUUGAAUUCUAGGAUCACGGGUUGUUUCAAGCGCGGGGAGGUGGAGUCUGCACAAAUGAUAUUUGAUGAAAUGUCCCAGAAAAAUGUGGUGACUUGGAAUUGUAUGAUAUCUGGCUAUGUUAGGAAUCACAUGAUCCAUAAGGCUCGUGAAGUAUUCGAUUGCAUGCCAACUCGGAACAUUGUGUCUUGGACAGCAAUGUUAAGUGGGUAUGCCAAGUGUGGAAAGUUGGAAGAAGCCCGUAAUCUGUUUGAUGCAAUAAAAAAUAAGAAUGUGGUAUGUUGGAAUUCUAUGAUAUCUGGGUAUAUAAUCAAUGGAAGGAUGAAUGAAGCGCGGGAAUUAUUUGAUGCAAUGCUAGUUAAGAAUGAUGUGUCGUGGGUGAUUAUACUUGAAGGGUAUUUCCGCCAUGGGCUUAUUCACAAAGCUGAGGAAUUGUUUAAUUCUGCUCCUGUCAAGAGUGUUUCACUUUACAAUGCUAUGUUAUCUGGUUAUGUUGAAAUUGGAUGUCUGGAAGCUUCACAGGAACUAUUUAUUGGAAUGCCCGAUCGAGAUGUUGCAUCAUGGACCAUGAUGAUAACUUGCUUGUUUAGAGCUGGGCAGAUGGAGAAUGCUAGGAGCUUAUUUGAAAAUAUGCCUAAAAAGGAUGUAGUUGCUUGGACUGCAAUGAUCCAGGGUUAUUUGCAUAAUAAUAGGAUUGAAGAUGCUCUGAAGUUAUUUAAUGAAAUGCCUUCCCGCGACACUGUUGCAUGGAAUUCAAUGAUUGGAGGUUAUGUUCAGAAUGGAAGAUUGGAAGAUGCCAUUGAACUGUUUAUGAAAAUGCCAAGACUGAAUAUUGUGUCUUGGAACUCAAUGCUACAGGGGUAUGUGCUACAAGAGGAUAUGUUCAAUGCUAGGAAGUUUUUUGACCAGAUGCCAUACAAAGAUGAGACUUCAUGGAAUAUAAUGAUUGCAGGAUAUCAAAGUGAGGAAGCUUUUAAUCUUUAUUCUCGAAUGUUGCAAACUGGAUUUAGACCUGAUCAAGGAAUACUUAACACUGUAAUCUCAGUAUCUGGUGCACUUGCUGCACAUGGUUGGGGAAGAUCAAUGCACCUCUCUGUGAUUAAGAUUGGUUUUGAAAAUGAUACUGUUGUUGUUAGUUCAAUAAUCUCCAUGUACUCCAGGUGUGGAUUUCUGAAUGAUGCUACUUUAGUGUUCGAAAGGAUGAGCAAUAGGGAUACAGUAGCUUGGAAUGCCCUAAUUGUGGCACAUGCAUGUCAUGGUUCUGCUGCUGAAGCCCUUAAGCUCUUCCUUUUGAUGAUUGAUGUUGGAUUUGUACCAGAUCAUGUGACUUUUCUUGGCAUUCUGAUUGCCUGUGUUCAUUCAGGUCUGGUUGAUGAAGGAUGGAACUAUUUCAAGGCCAUGAAAAAUGAAUGGAACCUGAUUCCUAAGCCAGAGCAUUAUGCUUGCAUGGUUGAUCUCCUUGGCAGAUCAGGAUUGGUAGCUGAAGCUUAUGAUUUAGUUAAACAAUUGCCUGUGGAUCUACCAGUGUACACAUGGGAAUCAUUAUUAAGUUCUUGUAGAGUUCAUGAAAAUCUUGGACUAGGGAAACUUGUUGCGCACAAGCUUUUGAAUUUUCAACCUUUGAAUAGGGGGAUGCACAUACUUGUAUCAAAUUUAUAUGCAGCGAAAGAGAGGUGGGAGGACGCAGCAAACAUCCGGGCAUCUGUUAAAUAUGGUGAAGCAAAGAAGCAGUUGGCAUUUAGUUGGAUUGAAAUAAAGGGCCACGUCUUCCAGUUUAUGUGCAAUGACAAAUUUCACCCUCAAAUGAAGGAGAUCCACACUGAACUAGAAAGUCUUUCUGCAGUCAUCAAGGAGUUAGGUGGCUCGUGGUUCAAAUGAAGGAGAUACACACAGAACUAGAAAGUCUUUCUGCAGUUAUCGAGGAGUUAGGGUAACAACACACUUUUGGGACAACAUCAGAUCUUUCUUCUUGUAAAAAGUUAUCUACAUGUAUUUUUCAUUCUCCAUGGUAGUGGCUCGCGGAUCAUGUAUGAAGGCCAGCAUCACAGAUGCACCUGCACAGAAAUAUGGAAAGCAGUAAACUGUUAUAGCUUCACUGACCAGAGCAUAAACAGUAUAACGUAGUUAGAAGGUCCUUGGGAAUCUCCUCCUCUCUCUCAGGGCUCAAGAAGGAUAACGGCCAAGGUAGCAAUAGAAACUGUGACAAUCAACAGGAAAAUAAUAAGAUGCUUAGGUAUUAAUGUUUCAACUUCAUAAGAAAAUGAAGCAAUAUAUUUUAUGCACCCGACAGCAAUGUUCAAAAAAAGCAACAAAAAUGGAAACACUUAAAACUUUUUUAGGUUCAAUCACAGCAUACAAAGUAGUUAUAUUUUCUUACAAUUGAAUAACUAUUAUUCACUUGAUCAUUUAAACUCAAAAUAUAUACUCAUGCAUUUUGUACGUUGUGCUGUGUGUUUGCUCAUGUAAAUUUAAAAAUUCUACUCAAUCUCAUGGAGAACAAAGCUUUAGCAAAGUGAGUAAAUUAAUCGAUUGUUAGAGGUCAUCGAGUUUCCGGAUGAGAAUGAAGGCAAGGAGUUGCUUUGUGAAAAAUGAGCAUCUGGUGAAAGUGGAUAAGAAGGAUGAGUUGAGCAGCUUCUUGAUUUCAAUGGAAGUGAGGUAGUUGUUGAAAUCUGAAGAAAUACUUGUUAGAUAAGAGAUUAGGAAUUAUAGAUACUGUUGGAAUAUUUUCAAAAUUAAAAGCAUUACUUUCCAAAAAGUCAUAUUUCUUGAUGAAAAAAUAUGACCGGUUGUUCAUUAACUUCUAAUUACCCAAAUGACUACUCAAAAUAGUUACAAUUGCAGUAAAAUACCUCAUUGGUUAUGCUAAGAGUUACAACUCUUAAUCAUGAAGGUAUAUUGCUCUUGAUCAAAUAGCAGCUACUUGGUGGUUGUAUUCAAUAGUCACAAUUAUUCAUGAAGAGGGAUAUAUAUAUUACUAUCCUAAUAAUCACAACAUUACAUGAAAAGUAUCAAGGAAAAUUAUGAUUGUGACUACUUGGAAAAGUCAUAACUUUUCGGAAAGGGUAUAAAUAACUCUAUAAUGCAUGUGUUGUAGAGUUCUGUUUUUCUAAAUUUUUAUCGCGUUCUAACUAUUCACUUCAAAUACUUCAAAUCAAAUAAAGAUAUCCUGAAGGCAGUCUUCAGGUCUUGGUGUCCUGCAGGCUGAGUAGACUUUAUUAUAUCCUGAGGGUGAUUAAUUUGUCACUAAUCCUACAACAAUUCAAAGGGGGCAAUAUCACCUUAAAGAAAAUGAUUCAUUCAGGCCUCAAAGUCUACAUUCUAACAUUUUCUGGAUUGCUGUACGAACAGAUUCUUCCAUAGGAUGACUAAUGCUCGCAAGGUGCCUUGUAUAGCUUGCAUGGUGAGAAAUCUGCUGAUCCAGAUGGCUUUUCCACGGCCUUUUGGCCUUUUUUAUACCAAUCGACAUUACUAUAGUUGCAUGGGGAAGGGCAUUCUAUGACUCACCCGUUUGAGAAAAGUUGACUUGGAAGGGUAAGAUUGCGAGACAACCAAAAACCAAGCUUUUCAAGUUAAAUUUCUGACAAUUACGAAUAUGAAAGCCAUGAGACCAGCUUAUCUGGUAGGUGAAGUCUAGGUCUAAUUAUGGCAUACUCAACACAACCCAAAAAAAAA